UGGGGAAUAUUGCACAAUGGGGGAAACCCUGAUGCAGCAACGCCGCGUGCGGGAUGACGGCCUUCGGGUUGUAAACCGCUUUCAGCCAUGACGAAGCUUUUGUGACGGUAGUGGCAGAAGAAGCACCGGCUAACUACGUGCCAGCAGCCGCGGUGAUACGUAGGGUGCGAGCGUUGUCCGGAGUUAUUGGGCGUAAAGAGCUUGUAGGCGGUUUGUCGCGUCGAAAGUGUAAACUCAGUGCUUAACGCUGAGCCUGCUUUCGAUACGGGCUGACUAGAGGAAGGUAGGGGAGAAUGGAAUUCCCGGUGGAGCGGUGGAAUGCGCAGAUAUCGGGAGGAACACCAGUGGCGAAGGCGGUUCUCUGGACCUUUCCUGACGCUGAGAAGCGAAAGCGUGGGUAGCAAACAGG
rnacentral:rRNA from 1 species